rnacentral:rRNA from 1 species
GGGCCCGCACAAGCGGUGGAGCAUGUGGUUUAAUUCGAUGAUACGCGAGGAACCUUACCAGGGCUUAAAUGUAGAACGACCGAUUUGGAAACAAGUCUUCUCUUUGAGCGGUCUACAAGGUGCUGCAUGGUUGUCGUCAGCUCGUGCCGUGAGGUGUCGGGUUAAGUCCCUUAACGAGCGCAACCCCUAUCUCUAGUUGCCAGCGGAUAAUGCCGGGGACUCUAGAGAAACUGCCCGUGCAAACGGUGAGGAAGGUGGGGAUGACGUCAAAUCAUCACGGCCCUUACGUCCUGGGCUACACACGUGCUACAAUGGUCGGUACAGAGGGCAGCUACCACGUGAGUGGAUGCAAAUCUCGAAAGCCGAUCUCAGUUCGGAUUGAAGUCUGCAACUCGACUUCAUGAAGCUGGAAUC